rnacentral:rRNA from 1 species
CCCUUAGAUGAUUUGGGCUGCACGCGCGCUACACUGACCCUAACAAUGAGCAACUGUCUGGCCUGAGAUGGCUGGGUAGCCUUUUCAACCCAUGUCAUGAUUGGGCUAGAUUUUUGUAAGUCUUGAUCUCUAACGAGGAAUCCCUAGUAUGUGUGAAUCAUCAAUCCAUGCAGAUUAUGUCCCUGCCCUUUGUACACACCGCCCGUCGCUCCUACUGAUUGGGUGAUCCGGUGAGCUGUUCGGCCAUAGCAAUGUUUCUUGAGCAGGGCAAUGAAGGUUUCGCAAACCUUGCCACUUAGAGGAAGGAGAAGUCGUAACA